ensembl:snoRNA
UUCCAAAGUGUUGAGUUCAGUUCAGGGCUAUAUCCCUGUUCUGUUAAUUAAACUUUGGGACAUUGAAAGGGCCUAGGAGAUGACACAAUCGGAUAGAGAAUAUCAUUCUAUUCACUUAUCUCCCAGCCUACAGCU